AAAGGGAACUGGCUGACGUUCAUGGUGGGGGAGAUGGAAGGAACUGGUAGAAACGAGAAACAAAAAACCCAAGAGAGAUUUCAUUUUUCACUAGGAUGCCAGGUUCUCCCCUUCCAUUCUCUACCUCUUUGCGAUCAAACUGAGCACCCGGGGGUUUCCCAAACCCAGGGUUACCGGAUCCUGAGCAUGCGCGGAGGAGGGACAGGGAGCCGCCCACGCCGGGCUCCGCGGCUGCAGUUGCUGUUGUGGCCACAAGGUGGCACUAAGUCUUUGGCGGCCGCUGGCCUUCCCGACCGUGGAAAGUCGGGGCCGGUGGGGCUAGGUAGGAAGAGCACACUCCUGUGAGGUUGCCGGGGGCGGGGCUCCACCUGGACCCCUGCUCUAGAGCUGCUGGCGCCAUAGGAAGAGAAGAUGUUUGGAGUUCUGCCGUCCUGCCUCUUCUGGAGUCCCGCCGUGGCUUACUCCUUUCAGAGCUUUCUGCCCUGUCCUGACAGUGCCCUCUCUUCCUAGGCCUGAGCUCCAGGUACUCAGCGACCCGAACCUUCCAACCUUCGCACCCUCCCCAGCACACUUUCAGAAUCUCCACGGCUGGGUCCAAAGGGGCCCUCGCUGGGCUGCACGUACUCUGGCCGCCUUAGCUCUAACUCCUGCCUCUCUAGGGCUUUUCCCUCUAACCCCAGAGUGUGGAAAAUCCUCUAUUUUUUCGCACAGAAGGCAUGGUGCUUCCUUCAGGGGGCGAACCCCACUAGUUUACCAGAAAAUGGACCUAGCACCCUCCCUUCUAAAAAAAAUAGGAGGGUAGAUGACCAGAAGCACAGAUGGAAGGGCCAGACUUUGAAAGGAAGGCCCGAUACCUCUAUUGCUGAGGCAGAGCAAAGGGAGAAAAGGCAGAGCAAAAGUGGGUAGAAAUAAAAAUGCUUUUCGAGGGAAGGGAACUUAGCAGGCCUGCGGCCAGUUUUCCUCCCUAUUUUCAUUAUGAGAUAGAUACAAAUGUCAUAUGUGAAAAUGAGAAGGAGAAUAUGAAGGGCAAAGCCCAUGUGUGGUGGUAAAGAGAACUGCAGAAGGAGAGGCCAGGUGGCUGAGCCUUGUACGAGGGCCUAUGUGUUGUUGGAAACCAAUCGUUCACUCAUUUAUGUAUUUGAGAGAUAUUUAUUGAACAUCUGCUGUGUGCUGACAUUGUUUCAAGAGGUGAGAAUACAUCAGUGAACAAAAUAGAAAAAACUCCUUGCCUUUGGGAAAUAUUCCAGUAUUUCCUAAAUACUAGAAGGAGAGGAGGACUGAAGAUUGGGAGGACGCAAGAUUAAUUAGUAAGCAAAAUGAAAUGCUGGAGGGUGAUAUGCUGUGUGGAAAUAGACACAUCAGGAUAGGGGAUAUCAGAAGUUGUGAGGGACUUGUGACUUAGAAUUUAAAUAAGGUGUUCAGGGAAGCUCUCAUUGACCUCAAAGACUUGAAGGAAGCUGGCCACGUUGCUACGGAGGACAAGCAAUCUGGUGGAGAGAACAGCCAGCAUAAAGGCUAUGUAGCAGGAGUGUGGCUGGCAUAUCCAUGUUGCUCCCAGAGUAUAUGGGAUGCUGCAGCAAAAAUAGAUAAAGCAUGAGGUGGUUUGGGUGAGGCUGUGGAAGCAUGGGUGUGGCAGAGGGGUAACCAGGGAAGAAAGUGAAGAAAGUGCUGAUAAUUGUGGUUCAAGGGAGUGAUUCUGUGGUCCAGGAGGGCAGACAGAACUGGGAGGUCCUGACAAGGAAGAAAGGAGGCUGAGUAGGAGUUGUGAGAGUGGGGGAUGCUGUGUAUAAACAUUGGGUGUCUCUGGUAGAAUUUAAGAUGUCAUUGGUGGCAUAGUUCAAAAUGAUGAUAAAGGCAAGAGUGUGGCCUUGCGAGCAAGUGAUUGAAAAUGGGAAGUGGGCUAAUGCAUGGUGCAUACCCCAGUCAACCAUAGCCACAACUGUGCUCUUCUGCAUGGGGGUUCAGCUCCUAUUGAGUAAUAUAGGAAAGGGCUAAGCUGCAAUUUCUCUCCUGCAUUACCAACAAAUGCCCAGUAGAAUUCAGCAUUCUUCCUCAAGCACUUAGGGAUGCAUGAACGCCUGCUAGCAAAUAUUACAGGGCAAACAAAAUUGUACCCACACAUGAUAGGAACCUUACAUUCUCUGCCAGCACACUGAUAUCUCUUAUAAGAGGUGGGUGAUUUGGUUCUCCUCUAAGAUGGUGAAGCCUGUCUGUAUUUCUUUAAAUCUUGGUGAGAGGCAGCAUGGCGGUGUUGAGAUCGAAGCCCAAAGAGGUGUAGCAGAAUUUGAACAACAUGGUUUGUGAGGCAGUAGCCUCCAUUUCUCUUCUAUCAACUCUUGAUUUGAAAGAAGUGUUGUUGGGAGUGGCAAGAUGGAGGAUGAAAAUCUCAACCCAACAGCUGUAUGUAGUGAGACUUUAGUCUAGCUUCCCUUAUCUGGGAGUGGCUUCUUUACUUCCUUACUGUACGUUCCCGUAUCUUUCUCCACUAUAAUGCUGGCUAUAUAAUGUUUGCUGUCUUGUGGAAGAGAACAGAUUAUUCGAAGGUAAUGAUGAAGUGUAAAAGAAUGGGAUGAGUGAAAGAGAAAUGAAGAACAGUGAUGCAGUGAUGAUUCAUUCACUCAUUUCCUACUACAACAAAUAUACAUAUAUAUAUUUGAUACCUAUUACAUAUGUAUAUAUCAGGUGUCUACUAGCAACAUGGAGUCAUGUUCCGGGGAUUGGAGAUGCAUCAGUGAACAAAACAAAAUUCCUGCUAUUUGAGACCGACCUUGAGGAAAGACAGAAAAUACAUAAGGGUGCUUUGUUGUAGGAGUUGAGUUGGAGGGAUCUGGGAGAUGAUCAAGGAAAAAGAUGUGAGCACAGGGGGCAGUAACAUACAACAUGCUUUACUGAAUGGCUCUUGGAUGGGGUUGCAUGAAAGAGGAUGUCUCUCCUAGUGAGACCAUCCAGAGGUUUAGGGCAAGGGGGCCACUGUUUAGAAGGGGAGAAGAGCAAACAGAAAAUCAAGAGAGAGGGGGAUUAGAAAGGGGGCUUAGAGGAUCUAAGUGAUGUCACUCAGCAGUACAGCAGAGAGUCUGGGUCAGAGAGCUCAGAAGGGCCACAGUGUUCAGGGCCUUAUAAGUACAAGGCCCCAUCUGAUCAAUGAGCAACAGCUGUUGGGUGAGGCCUCAUAGGGUACGUAAAGUAGGCAGGCUCCAGAUGGCUAAAAAUCUGCUUGUUUGUGCUAUUUUUUAAAUAACUGGAUGUGUAAAAAUUUGCAUUUGGCAUCAGCAGGCUUUUGAGCUGACAAUUUAACCUGCAGUGAGGAAAUAAACAAGGUAGGGUUCAAUACACAGAAUCAGUCUUUGGUUCAUGAACAUAACCUAGGUGCUAAGGAGAGGGAGCAGGGUAGGAAGGCAAAGUAGGGCAGGAGAGGGGCUCUGCUUUUGAUGCAUUGUCUGAAAAGGCCUUCGUUGUAAGAGGACAUCUGAGCAGAGACAUGCAUGAAGAAAGAGAUUGAAUGCCCUGCAUGAUACCUGGGAGAAAAAAGUUUCUGGUGCUUUUGUUUUGUUCUGAGGAGCCACUACAAGGCCAAUGAGAUAAGAGUGGAGUAAGCCAGGUAGACUGUGGUGGGGAUGAGGCUAUGUUCUGUAGGGCCAUGCAGCUGCAUACAAUAAGGCCUCCAUUUUGAGUGAUCGGGGCACUGUUGGAAAGAGGAGAGACAGAUUACACUUUGGUUUUAAAGGUGCUCCAGAAUGCCACAAGAACAGAUGUUACCCAUGGAAGGAACAGUGGUGGCAUGGACAGAGUGGAAAGUGGCGAAGGUGAUGAGGAGUCAAACUCUGAAAGCUUUUCAGGAAUAGAGCUCACAGAAUAUGUGAGGAAUUGAAUGUGAGGUGGGAGAAGAAGGGUGAAGGAGGCAAGGAUAACCAGGAUGUUUGGCCCACGAGGCCUUUACUGGCUACAUUUAAGUGAUCAUGAUAUAAUGUGGUGGCUAUUUGUCCCCACCCAAAUCUAAUAUUGAAUUGUAAUCCCCAGUGUUGGUGAUAGGGCCCGGUGGGAAGUGCUUGGAUCAUGGGGGAGGAUCCCUCAUGAAUGGCUUGGGCCAUCCCCUUGGUGGUAAGUGAACUCCCACUCUGAGUUCAUAGGAGAUCUGGUGGUUUACAAGUAUGUGGCACCUCUUUCCACGUGCUCCCUGUCUUGCUCCUGCCGCUGCCAUGUGAGACACCUUCUUCCCUUUCACCUCCCACCAUGAUUGUAAGCUUCCUGAGGCCUUCCCAGAAGCAGAUGACAGCAUCAUGCCUCCUGUACAGCCUGUAGAACUGCGAGCCAAUUAAAACUCCUAGAAAUUA